GAGAGGAAACAUCUCCCAUUGGGUGAAACUCAGAUUUUGCUUUUGCAUCUAACUCCUGUAGCCGAACCAGCUCUGCCGAAACCCGUAGGGUUUCAUUUUGCACUUGACUGUGCUGGAGAAAGACUGCAAGGAGUGGGCGGCGAGAGGAGGAACCUUAUAAACUUUGGGGGCGGGGACAUUUUCUUGGAAGUGACAAGUAGCUUCAGACCUGGGCCAGUGACGUCGUCCUCCGCUCAGACGCUCCGAAGGGGCUGGACGCGGCCACAAGACCAAAGCCAAAGAUCCCAGGAGAGCCAUGGAAUCCACGCUGGCGACACCCAGUUCUGCCGCAGGCCCCGUCACCUUCUCCCACGUCUUCGGGCAGCAGUGCCAACUUAUGGAAGCAGAUUCUGUCAUCCAGACGCUGUCAAAUUUCCCAGCUCCUCCAGGAAUUCGUCUCCAGAGAUGUUUGUUGAACAUCUGUGCCAGCAAAUGAACGUCUGCAGAAUGAAUGUGGAAUCUGCAACGACCAGAGCUACUGAAGGGAACUUCCACCCUCCAGGACGUUGUAGCUUAAAGGGGGAGUGACCCGGGUCCUCUGUAUCCAUGGUACUAUUCCUAAUGCCUUGUGCCGUGCUGUGCUCCGAUUCCUGUUCAUCGAUGCCUUCUUCAUUAGCCUCUGGGCUUCCUAAGGUUGGGCACUGUCGUCUUGGUUGUCUUGGAGUCCUCCAGACCUCCAGUGGUAUUGGCAACAUUGCAGUUUUCAUCAGUAAGACAUUGACAUGUCUGUUUUAAACUAAAAUAUUUGUCCUUUUACAGGGUGGCUGCCACCCCCAUGAGAAGCUCUUAGCACAAUAAAAUGGUAUUAGUGGAAUCUGGCAAAACAAAA